rnacentral:tRNA from 1 species
GCACCAUUCGUCUAACGGUUAGGACCUUGAUUUUUCAUGUCAAUAAUAGUGGUUCGAUUCCACUAUGGUGCA